AUGAACGCUAGCUACAGGCUUAACACAUGCAAGUCGAGGGGCAUCAGGAAGAAAGCUUGCUUUCUUUGCUGGCGACCGGCGCACGGGUGAGUAACACGUAUCCAACCUGCCCUUUACUCGGGGAUAGCCUUUCGAAAGAAAGAUUAAUACCCGAUGGCAUAAUGAUUCCGCAUGGUUUCAUUAUUAAAGGAUUCCGGUAAAGGAUGGGGAUGCGUUCCAUUAGGUUGUUGGUGAGGUAACGGCUCACCAAGCCUUCGAUGGAUAGGGGUUCUGAGAGGAAGGUCCCCCACAUUGGAACUGAGACACGGUCCAAACUCCUACGGGAGGCAGCAGUGAGGAAUAUUGGUCAAUGGGCGCUAGCCUGAACCAGCCAAGUAGCGUGAAGGAUGAAGGCUCUAUGGGUCGUAAACUUCUUUUAUAUAAGAAUAAAGUGCAGUAUGUAUACUGUUUUGUAUGUAUUAUAUGAAUAAGGAUCGGCUAACUCCGUGCCAGCAGCCGCGGUAAUACGGAGGAUCCGAGCGUUAUCCGGAUUUAUUGGGUUUAAAGGGAGCGUAGGUGGACUGGUAAGUCAGUUGUGAAAGUUUGCGGCUCAACCGUAAAAUUGCAGUUGAUACUGUCAGUCUUGAGUACAGUAGAGGUGGGCGGAAUUCGUGGUGUAGCGGUGAAAUGCUUAGAUAUCACGAAGAACUCCGAUUGCGAAGGCAGCUCACUGGACUGCAACUGACACUGAUGCUCGAAAGUGUGGGUAUCAAACAGGAUUAGAUACCCUGGUAGUCCACACGGUAAACGAUGAAUACUCGCUGUUUGCGAUAUACGGCAAGCGGCCAAGCGAAAGCGUUAAGUAUUCCACCUGGGGAGUACGCCGGCAACGGUGAAACUCAAAGGAAUUGACGGGGGCCCGCACAAGCGGAGGAACAUGUGGUUUAAUUCGAUGAUACGCGAGGAACCUUACCCGGGCUUAAAUUGCAGUGGAAUGAUGUGGAAACAUGUCAGUGAGCAAUCACCGCUGUGAAGGUGCUGCAUGGUUGUCGUCAGCUCGUGCCGUGAGGUGUCGGCUUAAGUGCCAUAACGAGCGCAACCCUUAUCUUUAGUUACUAACAGGUCAUGCUGAGGACUCUGGAGAGACUGCCGUCGUAAGAUGUGAGGAAGGUGGGGAUGACGUCAAAUCAGCACGGCCCUUACGUCCGGGGCUACACACGUGUUACAAUGGGGGGUACAGAAGGCAGCUAGCGGGUGACCGUAUGCUAAUCCCAAAAUCCUCUCUCAGUUCGGAUCGAAGUCUGCAACCCGACUUCGUGAAGCUGGAUUCGCUAGUAAUCGCGCAUCAGCCACGGCGCGGUGAAUACGUUCCCGGGCCUUGUACACACCGCCCGUCAAGCCAUGGGAGCCGGGGGUACCUGAAGUACGUAACCGCAAGGAUCGUCCUAGGGUAAAACUGGUGACUGGGGCU
rnacentral:rRNA from 1 species